rnacentral:rRNA from 1 species
UGCCUAGCCGUAAAAUAUUAACUUACAACUACAUCGCCAGGGGAUUACGAGCUUAAACUUAAAACCCAAAGGACUUGACGGUGUCCCACCUACCUAGAGGAGCCUGUUCUAUAAUCGAUUUCCCCCGAUAAACCUCACCCCUUCUUGCCUUUCAGCCUGUAUACCUCCGUCGCAAGCUUACCAUGUGAACGACCCCAGUGAGCUAAAAGAUCUCGCAUCAAAACGUCAGGUCAAGGUGCAGCCCAUGAAGAGGAAAGAAAUGGGCUACAAUUUCUAAGAUAGAACAAACGAAUAACCACAUGAAAUAUGGUUAUGAAGGCGGAUUUAGCAGUAAAAAGAAAAUAGAGAGCUCUUUUUAAUAAAGCACUGGGACGCGU